UACGGGGGGGGUAAGCGUUGUUCGGAAUUACUGGGCGUAAAGGGCUCGUAGGCGGCCAACUAAGUCAUACGUGAAAUCCCUCAGCUUAACUGGGGAACUGCGUGUGAUACUGGAUGGCUUGGAUUUGGGAGAGGGAUGCGGAAUUCCAGGUGUAGCGGUGAAAUGCGUAGAUAUCGGGAGGAACACCAGUGGCGAAGGCGACUACCUGGCCUGUUUCUUGACGCUGAGGCGCGAAAGCUAGGGGAGCAAACGGG
rnacentral:rRNA from 1 species